UACUGUAUUCUGCCUUUUUCACUCAAUGUUGCUUUUUUGAGAUCUACCCAUGUUGUUGACAUUCCAGCCUUUGUUCCUCCUUGUAACAGCCAUGGGGUACUCCUUCCCAUGAGUGUACCCUGUUUCCCUUAUUCCAGCACCCAAGACCUGGACGGGGUUUCCCCCUAUUAUGAAGAAUGCUGCCAGGAACAUCUUGGUACCUGCCUCAUCCUGAUGUGUUUCUAUAGGUUAUCUAAGCUAACUAUCACUGCACAUUAACUCCUUUGCAUGAAUUUUUAAACCUGCUUGUCAAGUUCUGUGAAUUUCAAGAUUCAUUUGGGGGAAAUGGACAUCCAUACAAUACUGAGCCUUUGAUCUACACACACAAAGUAAACGUUCUUCCUCCCUGGACACAAACAUGUGAAUGCUGCCAAACACACAGAGCCGGCAUAAUUGGCUGAAAAUGAAUGGGAAUUUUUUCAAAUUAAAGUUUAAUGACACAAGCGAAACAUGAAUACAUUCUCCUUUUUAAAAAAUAGAACACUGCAGAUGAUGCUAACGUCCCUUUUGGCCACCCACUGCCAUCCCAUUUCCUUCCUCCUCCCCAGAGGUUACCACUAUAAUAGGCUCAAUGUGCACUUUUCUAGACUUUCCAAAAACUUAUAAAUUCACAGAUAGAUACCCACAGGAAAUAUAUGUAAUAGUUGUGUCAAAUAAUGAGAAUUUUGUCUUUUCCUUUCCAAUUUUCAUUGAUAUUGACCUGGGUUUUAUUAUGGUUGUGGAAUAGAAUGUCAGUAUUAACAUCCAUCACAAGUGAAAG